rnacentral:ncRNA from 1 species
CCCCGGGCGACUGGGGGUCUGGAGGAAGUCCGAGGCAAAGCGCUGGCCUGACGAACAGGAAGCGGAUGAGGCGUCGUAUCGGGGUGAGGCAGCCGAUAUUGCCAAAGCCCAAUACUUGCACGGAGCGAUGCGACGUAGAUCCGACGGGCAUAAGCGUGAAGGUGGGUGCGU